AUGGAGGGAGUUACAGGAUACUUCUGUUACAAUGUGGUAGUGAUGGAGGGAGUUACAGGAUACUUCUGUUACAAUGUGGUAGUGAUGGAGGGAGUUACAGGAUACUUCUGUUACAAUGUGGUAGUGAUGGAGGGAGUUACAGGAUACUUCUGUUACAAUGUGGUAGUGAUGGAGGGAGUUACAGGAUACUUCUGUUACAAUGUGGUAGUGACGGAGGGAGUUACAGGAUACUUCUGUUACAAUGUGGUAGUGAUGGAGGGAGUUACAGGAUACUUCUGUUACAAUGUGGUAGUGAUGGAGGGAGUUACAGGAUACUUCUGUUACAAUGUGGUAGUGAUGGAGGGAGUUACAGGAUACUUCUGUUACAAUGUGGUAGUGAUGGAGGGAGUUACAGGAUACUUCUGUUACAAUGUGGUAGUGAUGGAGGGAGUUACAGGAUACUUCUGUUACAAUGUGGUAGUGANNNNNNNNNNNNNCCCCCCCCCCCUUUGAAUCCACAUUUCUGGCGCCCAAUAGUCUGGCUGGUAAACCCCAGUAAUACGGUAGUUGUAAAAGAUGGUCGGUAGAGUGUCUGUCUUUUUGUGUCCUCGAACCUCCCCAGGGGACACGCAAAAUCUUUUGUCUGGAGGGUGUGGCCUAUAUUGCAGCAAUUACCAACAAAUGACAGCAAUAGGCUAAUGCUAUUUAUUUGACAACAGACCUACUUAUAUCCUAUCUUUAAAUAGCCUGAACUUCAUUUGGCCAACAAAAAUGUCUCAACAAAUGCUAGUAUGAAAUGAAACAAGACACUUUCUGCAUAUUAAAGAACUGGUUAAUGAUCAUGAGAAAACAAAUGAUAAAUGUGAUAGUGAAUUAAAAAAAAAAAUCUUUGUCCACUACAAUAUUAAAACUCGGCUCUUGUCGGUUUCUUUUCACUGUACUCUGUAACUUUAAUUUUACUUGAAUGAAAAAGUCGUCCAUCUUUGUAAUCGACAGUAGCCAAGGCUUAGCAGCAGUUGCGCAGCUGGAACCAGCUGGGCAUUUUUUAAAUAUAUUUUUUUACCUUUAUUAUUAUUUAUUUUAAGAACAAAUUCUUAUUUUCAAUGACGGUCUAGGAACAGUGGGUUAACUGCCUUGUUCAGGGGCACAACGACAGAUUUGAAACGUUGUCAGCUCGGGGAUUUGAACUUGCAACCUUCCAGUUACCAGUUACUAGUCCAACUCUCUAAACCACUAGGCUACCCUGCCGCCCCAUAAGCUGUACGUUUUAUUGAGUUGCAAUUGGCGGACACAUAACAAGCUUGCGCUGCUUUCAUCAUGUCACACACAUUAAAUUAACAGAGGACAGGUGCAAUCGGGUCCAGUCGAUAAAUCCAUUCACUUAACAGAAGACGGGUCCAGUCGAUUUAAAUACAUUUUAAUUGCACCUACCGAGACCCGUGGCAAUUAUAUCAGACCUGACCCAGGUCCUAGACAACAGUAAGAAUUUGGGACCCGAACCUGGAAUUUUGUGUCUCUAGAAGACAUCUAACCUAGAGUAUUCACCGAAAUACAGAUCUGGAGUCUGUUCAUAAACAAGUGUCAGCUUAGAGCAAUUUACUGUCUUCACCUAAGUACAGGUCUGGGUAUAGCUCAUAAAUAAUGUGUCAGUUACCUAGUGUCUAUUGUCAUCACCCAAAUACAGGUCUGGAAUCUGUUCAUAAACAAGUGUCAGCUUAGAGCUAUCUACUGUCGUCACCCAAAUACAGGUCCGGGAACAGCUCAUAAACAAGUUGUCAGCUACCUAGUAUAUACUGUUUUCACCCAAAUACAGGUCUGAGGUCAGAAUCUAAAUAUGUUUAGGCUGUUGCUAGUGUUAACUGGUUGAAUCCAUAAACAUGUUUUGUUCAUCUGAGAAUAGCCCCUUAGCUGCCUGCCUGUCUCAGCCUUGGGAAGUCUGCAUGUACUUAUAGGCUCAUUUAAAAAACCCUCUCGCUGCUUGUUUGUGUUGUGGUGGUGACUCUCUCACUAAGAACCUUUUAAGACGGCAAGCUGCAGCAGGAGGACUAAAGCAGUGAGAGCAGGGUUCGGACUAGUCCUGACUACACUGUAAAUAAUGUUUGAUGCCGUCUAAAGUGCUGGUGGAGCUAGCCUACUGGAAGACGGUAAUGUUUUAAUGCUUAUUUUAAUUACUACUUGCUUGGUAGGUAUAUGUUUUGUUUGGUCCUUCUGCUUGGUUUAUAUAUUCCGCUUGGUAGUUAUACUAUGCAAUUUGUUGAAAACUAGACAUUAGCAGUAGGUUUUUUUUAGCUAGUGUAGGUUGCUAACCGGGAGGCUUUGUAGUGUCAUCAGCCAGCUAAUGUGGGGAAAGGGGAUACCUCGUCAGUUGCACAACUGAAAUGUCUUCCCCAUUUAACUAAACACCUCUGCGGGGGAGCUGCCUUAAUCAACAUUAAAUCCAGUUGUUGUGGGUGUGAACUGCUUUGCUCCAGGGCAGAACGGCAGAUUUUUUCCCCCCACAUCACCGGCUCGGGGAUUUGAACAAGCAACCUUUCGUUUACUGUCCCAACGCUCUAACCGUUAGGCUACCUAUAGGCUGAUAACUGGGAGACUGUUAUAGUGGUAUCAGCUAGGUGGUGGCUGAUAACUGGGAGAC
rnacentral:lncRNA from 13 species